GCCAGGCACCAUGGCAUGCUCCUGUAGUCCCAUCUACUUGGGAGGCUGAGGCAGGAGGAUUGCUGGAGGGCUUGAGCCCAGGAGUUCUGGGCUCCCAGGAGCAGGGGACCACCAGGUUGCCUAAAGAGGGGUGAGCGAACACAGAUUGGAAAUGGAGCAGGUCAAAACUCUUAUGCUGAUCAGUAGUGGGAUUGCAUCUGAAUAGCCAUUGCACUCUAGCCUGGGCAACAUAGUGAGACCCUGUCUCU
ensembl:misc_RNA Metazoa_SRP Metazoan signal recognition particle RNA